GAUGAACGCUGGCGGCGUGCCUAAUACAUGCAAGUCGAGCGAACAGACGAGGAGCUUGCUCCUCUGACGUUAGCGGCGGACGGGUGAGUAACACGUGGAUAACCUACCUAUAAGACUGGGAUAACUUCGGGAAACCGGCGCUAAUACCGGAUAAUAUAUUGAACCGCAUGGUUCAAUAGUGAAAGACGGUUUUGCUGUCACUUAUAGAUGGAUCCGCGCCGCAUUAGCUAGUUGGUAAGGUAACGGCUUACCAAGGCAACGAUGCGUAGCCGACCUGAGAGGGUGAUAGGCGACACUGGAACUGAGACACGGUCCAGACUCCUACGGGAGGCAGCAGUAGGGAAUCUUCCGCAAUGGGCGAAAGCCUGACGGAGCAACGCCGCGUGAGUGAUGAAGGUCUUCGGAUCGUAAAACUCUGUUAUUAGGGAAGAACAAAUGUGUAAGUAACUAUGCACGUCUUGACGGUACCUAAUCAGAAAGCCACGGCUAACUACGUG
rnacentral:rRNA from 1 species